GCCCCCGUAGCUCAGGGGAUAGAGCAUCGGCCUCCGGAGCCGUGUGCGCAGGUUCGAAUCCUGCCGGGGGCACC
rnacentral:tRNA from 4 species